rnacentral:rRNA from 1 species
GAUGAACGCUGGCGGCGUGCCUAAUACAUGCAAGUCGAGCGAAUGGAUUAAGAGCUUGCUCUUAUGAAGUUAGCGGCGGACGGGUGAGUAACACGUGGGUAACCUGCCCAUAAGACUGGGGUAACUCCGGGAAACCGGGGCUAAUACCGGAUAACAUUUUGAACAGCAUGGUUCGAAAUUGAAAGGCGGCUUCGGCUGUCACUUAUGGAUGGACCCGCGUCGCAUUAGCUAGUUGGUGAGGUAACGGCUCACCAAGGCAACGAUGCGUAGCCGGCCUGAGAGGGUGAACGGCCACACAGGGACUGAGACACGGCCCAGACUCCUACGGGAGGCAGCAGUAGGGAAUCUUCCGCAAUGGACGAAAGUCUGACGGAGCAACGCCGCGUGAGUGAUGAAGGCUUUCGGGUCGUAAAACUCUGUUGUUAGGGAAGAACAAGUGCUAGUUGAAUAAGCUGGCACCUUGACGGUACCUAACCAGAAAGCCACGGCUAACUACGUGCCAGCAGCCGCCGUAA